rnacentral:rRNA from 1 species
UGAGGAAUAUUGGACAAUGGGCGCAAGCCUGAUCCAGCCAUGCCGCGUGAGUGAUGAAGGCCUUAGGGUUGUAAAGCUCUUUUAGCAGGGAAGAUAAUGACGGUACCUGCAGAAAAAGCCCCGGCUAACUUCGUGCCAGCAGCCGCGGUAAUACGAAGGGGGCUAGCGUUGCUCGGAAUUACUGGGCGUAAAGCGCGUGCAGGCGGGCGGGCAAGUCUGAUGUGAAAGCCCCGGGCUUAACCUGGGAAGUGCAUUGGAAACUGCUCGUCUUGAGUACUGGAGAGGAAGGGGGAAUUCCCGGUGUAGAGGUGAAAUUCGUAGAGAUCGGGAGGAAUACCAAUGGCGAAGGCGCCCUUCUGGACGGUAACUGACGCUGAGACGCGAAAGCGUGGGGAGCAAACA